UACGGGGGGUGCGAGCGUUGUCCGGAAUCACUGGGCGUAAAGGGCGCGUAGGCGGCCACGCACGUCCGUUGUGAAAUCGCCCGGCUCAACUGGGCGGGGUCAGCGGAUACGGUGUGGCUCGAGCAAGCUAGGGGGCAAUGGAAUUCCCGGUGUAGUGGUGGAAUGCGUAGAUAUCGGGAGGAACACCAGUGGCGAAGGCGGUUGCCUGGAGCUUUGCUGACGCUGAGGCGCGAAAGCGUGGGGAGCGAUCCGG
rnacentral:rRNA from 1 species